UAGUGUUGGGAAUCUACUUCUUUAUAGUUGUAGUUCCUGAAAUACAACGGCGGAUUUGUAGUAUCCUCUGAGCGUAGUAAUUUUUUUCUCGCUUUUGUUAGGUGCUAUAACUCCCAGCCGCUAAACCCCCAAUUUUUUGUGGUUGACCUCGGAUCAGGUAGGAAUACCCGCUGAACUUAAGCAUAUCAAUAAGCGGAGGA
rnacentral:rRNA from 1 species